GCCGCUAUGGCGGAACUGGCAGACGCAAGGGACUUAAAAUCCCUCGGUAGCAAUACCGUACCGGUUCGACCCCGGUUAGCGGCACCA
rnacentral:tRNA from 1 species